rnacentral:rRNA from 1 species
AUUGAACGCUGGCGGCAUGCCUUACACAUGCAGGUCGAACGGCAGCACGGGGCAACCUGGUGGCGAGUGGCGAACGGGUGAGUAAUGCAUCGGAACGUACCUUUCAGUGGGGGAUAACGUAGCGAAAGUUACGCUAAUACCGCAUAUUCUGUGAGCAGGAAAGCAGGGGAUCGCAAGACCUUGCGCUGAUUGAGCGGCCGAUGUCAGAUUAGCUAGUUGGUGAGGUAAAGGCGCACCAAGGCGACGAUCUGUAGCGGGUCUGAGAGGAUGAUCCGCCACACUGGAACUGAGACACGGUCCAGACUCCUACGGGAGGCAGCAGUGGGGAAUUUUGGACAAGGGGGGCAACCCUGAUCCAGCCAUGCCGCGUGAGUGAAGAAGGCCUUCGGGUUGUAAAGCUCUUUCGGCCGGGAAGAAAUCGCACGGGCUAAUACCCUGUGUGGAUGACGGUACCGGAAUAAGAAGCACCGGCUAACUACGUGCCAGCAGCCGCUGUAACAC